rnacentral:rRNA from 1 species
UAAGGAAUAUUGGACAAUGGAGGCAACUCUGAUCCAGCCAUGCCGCGUGAAGGAAUAAGGCCCUAUGGGUUGUAAACUUCUUUUAGACGGGACAAAACCCCUUUACGUGUAAAGGGUUGAUGGUACUGUCAGAAUAAGCAUCGGCUAACUUCGUGCCAGCAGCCGCGGUAAUACGAAGGAUGCAAGCGUUAUCCGGAAUUAUUGGGUUUAAAGGGUGCGUAGGCGGACUAAUAAGUCAGUGGUGAAAGCCUGCAGCUUAACUGCAGAAUUGCCAUUGNUACUGUUAGGCUUGAGUACAGUUGAGGUAGGCGGAAUGUGUCAUGUAGCGGUGAAAUGCUUAGAUAUGACACAGAACACCGAUUGCGAAGGCAGCUUGCUAAGCUGUAACUGACGCUGAGGCACGAAAGCGUGGGGAGCAAACA